rnacentral:rRNA from 1 species
AUCGAUGAAGAACGCAGCGAAAUGCGAUAAGUAAUGUGAAUUGCAGAAUUCAGUGAAUCAUCGAAUCUUUGAACGCACCUUGCGCUUCUUGGUAUUCCGAGGAGCAUGCCUGUUUGAGUGUCAUUAAUAUAUCAAUCUUCUCUUGUUGAGUGGUUUGGAUGUGGGGGUUUGCUGGCCUCUGAAAAGGGAUUCAGCUCCUCUGAAAAGCAUUAGCAGAGCGACUCUGUUCAUUAGUGUGAUAACUAUCUAUGCUAUUGAAUGGGUGUGGUUCAGCUUUCUAACUGUCCUUGGACAAAUUUAUCAUUUAUGUGACCUCAAAUCAGGUAGGACUACCCGCUGAACUUAAGCAUAUCAAUAAGCGGAGGAAAAGAAACUAACAAGGAUUCCCCUAGUAACUGCGAGUGAAGCGGGAAAAGCUCAAAUUUAAAAUCUGGCAGUUUCUUUUAGCUGUCCGAGUUGUAAUCUAGAGAAGUGUUAUCCGCGCUGGACCGUGUACAAGUCUCCUGGAAUGGAGCAUCAUAGAGGGUGAGAAUCCCGUCUUUGACAUGGACUACCAGGGCUUUGUGAUGCGCUCUCAAAGAGUCGAGUUGUUUGGGAAUGCAGCUCAAAAUGGGUGGUAAAUUCCAUCUAAAGCUAAAUAUUGGCGAGAGACCGAUAGCGAACAAGUACCGUGAGGGAAAGAUGAAAAGAACUUUGGAAAGAGAGUUAAACAGUACGUGAAAUUGCUGAAAGGGAAACGCUUGAAGUCAGUCGCGUUGUCCAGGGAUCAACCUUGCUUUUGCUUGGUGCACUUUCUGGUUCAAUGGGUCAGCAUCAAUUUUGACCGUUGGAAAAAGGUCAGGGGAAUGUGGCAUCUUCGGAUGUGUUAUAGCCCUUGGUCACAUACAAUGGUUGGGAUUGAGGAACUCAGCACGCCGCAAGGCCGGGUUUUAAACCACGUACGUGCUUAGGAUGCUGGCAAUAUGGCUUUAAUCGACCCGUCUUGAAACACGG